UGACGGGUGACUCUAAGGUCUAUAUCCUCAACAAUAACCAUUUUAUUAUUGCCUCUAGAGCAUAUUUCCAACAAACCAUACAUGGUGAACUUGUAUUGACUUGUUCUUUGUCACAAAGCCAUAUAUCACACGAAACUCAAUUGCGCAUAUGUGAUAAGGAUAUCUAGCGAUAUCUUUUUCUUGCUCGGCAUAAUACUUGUGUUAUUGUUUUUUUAGUGUCUAGAAUAUAUAGACUAUUUAGGAAGUAGUUCCAAAUAUGAAAAAUGGAGGCGGUAAAUGAACUUUUACUCAGCAGCAAUGGACAUAAAACUCAAAACUUGUGAGCUACUCGGCUCGCCUCGGGCCAAACUUGUUUUCUUAACGAGUCGAGCUAGCUCUCGUUUUCCAUUUGUUAAGAUAAACGAGCCUAACAAGCUGGUUACCUCAAGUUACUCGUGAGGUUGGUUAAUUAAGAUUGUAUUUAACUACUCCCUGACAGUUCAGACAUCGUCCAAAAUAGUUCAAUAUCAGCUGUCUAAAACUUCAUACAAAAAAGAAUGGAGGGAGUAGUAUUUAUCAACAUGCGUGCACACACACAUACACACAUAUUAGCAGGGUACUUAAGUCUUGCAAUCAGUGCUUGUAGUCGUCGCUGGGUGGUCUGCGGAUCUGGAUGUAAUUUUUAUUUCUGGUGUUCGUUGUACUACCAUGAUUGAAGAUGAAUAGAUUAGAAGUUUUUCCGAAAAAAAAAAACUGAGCAGAAAGUCAAACUCAACAUCUUACAUUCUUAAGAAGUUGCUUCCCACUACUACAAAUUCUUUCAACAUGCAAGCUGUCCACGUCAGCAUCCAUUCCCGUGCGGCCACGUCAGCACUAAUCCUCCACCGUACCCAUGGUUUUCCAUCGCUAAUCCCUCUUCUUUUUUUGACAGCACCAUCGCUAAUCCCUCUUAACUCAGCGCGGGCUGGGCUGUACGAAGCCACAAAUGAAGCGUCACCUCAUUGUUUCUUUUCGUUUCCAAAAGUAACAGCCGAAUCACACCUACCGGCAACCGUGGAAGUCGGAAGACCAGCCGUCCUCGCCACCCCAUCCUCAUAAAAUCUGCAGAGCCGCCGAGCCGGAGAUACGACAGGCAGUGAGCGCACAUCCAGGAGCGGCGCCACCGGCUGAUCCAACUUAAGGGGUGCCCGGUGAUCCUUCCCUUGUGUGGUUCGAGAUGGGGCCGCCGCCUUCUCCCGUCGCAUGGUCCAGGUCUGACGGGGAGGGCACAUAGCCGGUGCCCAUCCAGGAGCGGCGACGCCAGCUGCUCCGGUGACACCCUUCUCCCGUGUGAUUCGAGAUGGGGUCGUCAGGUUCUCCCGUCGCACGGUCCAGAUCUGACGGGGCCACAUCGGCCUCCACGGCAAAGCCUCGGACUGGAGGCGUCCACCAGUUCAUGGUGAGGUAGGAGUUCGAGCUCCACAAGGCUGGUAUAGAGCGAAAGCUUACUGUGAAGCAGUUCAAGCUAUUCAUCAGCCGCUCCCCCAGUCUCAUUCCCUUCACGGACACUGUUCUCUGUCGGUUCCCCAACAGAGUGCCAACUAGCAUCAAGGUCCUCCAGCUUCUACGUACUCUUUCAUCGGUUCCUCAGUUGCUGGCCGACCAACACCAAGGUCGCAGGGUUACUACAAGCAACAAUAAUUCCUUGUGAUUUAUGGAAUGUUGAUAAAAUUUCCGUAUGAAAUUGUGUAGAGCAACUGGGCUCAUUGUUGUGAUCUACCAUCGUCAACGACAUUGAUAUUUCACACCCAUCUCAAUCUGGUGCCGCCUGUGUUGGCCAUGAUACAUCUGCAGCCCUUGAAGUCGUGUUUGCUCUCUGUGCUAGGCUGCAGUCUUUCUUGAUACGUCCGUUUAUUCUGCCCCGCUCAUCCAGGUUUCUAUUGAAGAGGAACGAGUGUAUAGCCUACAGGUGGUUCUUCAAUCCAAUGAUUUUCCUCAUAUGUUUCUAAGACAAAUAGUCACUAUUUUCUGUUAUACCUAUGGAUUUUAAUUUCUGUUA